rnacentral:lncRNA from 1 species
CCAACCCUUUUAAUGCACUGGUAGAAGUAGGGAGCAUCAAUUGAAAUAACUGAAGCUUUAUUGGAUAAGUAGAAUAAGACAUAAUGGCAAUAAAUAUUUUUGGGUGUCUUCUCCUAGUGUAGGAGUAGAACAUUUUCUAAGUGGAUGUAGAAUGUGUGUAGGUGAUGAAUAGAGGAAUGCGUACUCCUAGGGUAGGAGCAGCAUAAGUGCGUGUCUCUAGGAUAGAAACAACAUAGAGUGUAGUGCGUAUAUGUGGGUGGUACUUCCAGGAAUAGAAGUAGCACAUGGUGAAUAUGGUGGAUGUAAGUGGUUUCAUACUUUUGAGGACAGAAGUAGCUAAGGUUAAAGGAUGGAGAGCAUAUAAUACUGACUUUAACUGUAUGACUAGUUUCUUAGGGUCAAUACAGCUUAACUACACUCAAUGCUUAU